rnacentral:tRNA from 1 species
GCCCUUGUGGCGAAAUGGUAGACGCGGUAGACUCAAAAUCUAUUAUCUGCAAAGAUAUGCUGGUUCAAGUCCGGCCAGGGGCA